GAUGAACGCUGGCGGCGUGCCUAAUACAUGCAAGUCGAGCGAACAGACGAGGAGCUUGCUCCUCUGACGUUAGCGGCGGACGGGUGAGUAACACGUGGAUAACCUACCUAUAAGACUGGGAUAACUUCGGGAAACCGGAGCUACUACCGGAUAAUAUAUUGAACCGCAUGGUUCAAUAGUGAAAGACGGUUUUGCUGUCACUUAUAGCUGGAUCCGCGCCGCAUUAGCUAGUUGUUAAGGUAACGGCUUACCAAGGCAACGAUGGGUAGCCGACCUGAGAGGGUGGUCGGCCACACUGGAACAGAGACAGGGUCCAGACUCCUGCGGGAGGCAGCAGUAGGGAAUCUUCCGCAAUGGGCGAGAGCCUGACGGAGCAACGCCGCGUGAGGGAUGAAGGUCUUCGGAUCGUAAAACUCUGUUAUUAGGGAAGAACAAAUGUGUAAGUAACUAUGCACGUCUUGACGGUACCUAAUCAGAAAGCCACGGCUAACUACGUG
rnacentral:rRNA from 1 species